rnacentral:rRNA from 1 species
GAUAAACGCUAGCUACAGGCUUAACACAUGCAAGUCGAGGGGAAACGAUAUUGGAAGCUUGCUUCUGAUAGGCGUCGACCGGCGCACGGGUGAGUAACGCGUAUCCAACCUGCCCAUCACUUGGGGAUAACCUUGUGAAAGUAAGACUAAUACCCAAUGACGUCUCUAGAAGACAUCUGAAAGAGAUUAAAGAUUUAUCGGUGAUGGAUGGGGAUGCGUCUGAUUAGCUUGUUGGCGGGGUAACGGCCCACCAAGGCGACGAUCAGUAGGGGUUCUGAGAGGAAGGUCCCCCACAUUGGAACUGAGACACGGUCCAAACUCCUACGGGAGGCAGCAGUGAGGAAUAUUGGUCAAUGGGCGAGAGCCUGAACCAGCCAAGUAGCGUGAAGGAUGAAGGUCCUA